rnacentral:rRNA from 1 species
AGUGAACGCUGUCGGUCGGCCUAACACAUUCAAGUUGAACGGCAGCACCAUCAGCGCUUGCUUUUACGUGUGUCGACUGGUGUGUGGGUGACGCAUACCUCGGAAUCUACUUUUUCGUGGGGCAUAACGUCGGCAAACUUCCGCUAAUACCGCAUACGACCUACUGGUGAAAGCAGGGGAUCUUCGCACCUUGCGCGCUUGAAUGUGCCGAUGUCGGAUUAGCUCGUUGGCGGGGUAAAGGCCCACCAAGGCGACGAUCCGUAGCUGGUAUGAGAGGAUGAUCAGCCACACUGGAACUGAGACACGGCCCAGAAUACGACGAGAGGCAGCAGUGUGGAAUAUUUGACAAUGGGCGCAAGCCUGAUACAGCCAUACCGCGUGGGUGAAGAAGGCCUACGGGAGGGAAAGCACUUGUGUUGGGAAAGAAAAGCAGAAGGGUAAAACCUGGCGGUUAUGACGGGACACAAAGAAUAAGCAACGGCUAACUACAUG